GUAUUUGCGUUGCGAUGGCAUCAUUCUUCUCGGAGCCGGAGUGAAAUUGAAGUCGCGUGUUUGCAUUAGUUUUUUGAAUUGCUGUUGGGGCUGGGGCUGCGUGAUCGUCACUGGCGUCCUCCAGAGUGCCCACCGAUCGGAAAGUCGUACGAACCGCAAGCUUUGAACGUCUGUUUAUCGCAACAUCGAAAGCGGCGGCACAGAAGACGCGAUGUGAGCUCCGGUGGGAACAGCAGCCCUUUGUCUCGUAACGGUCCCUGACACCGCCUCUCCGACUUCUAAGAGCACACGGGUUUUUCCGGAAUCUUCCAAAAGAUGCUAGAACUUUUCUGAAGACCCCCCGUGGGGCUGUCGAGGAUGUUGCUAUCUCUACAAUAGCCGGAGAAGACGAAACAAGUUUUGCAAUGCACACGGACUGGCUCAGUUGUGAAUGUCACAAAUGCUCCCCUAACGAGGAUCAAAUCAAUGAAAGGAUGGCCUUGAUAAAUAAUAUUCAUGAGGCGAAGAGGAAGUACCCAUACAUGAUGAGCUUUGAGAGGUGACUUUGCAAGACUGACUAAGAUUGACCCAUCACCUUGUAUUGCAAAAGGGAUCAACAAAAUUGUGAAAAUGGCAGAAAUGAAACACAUCCCUUGCGAAGCAAGUGUAAUGGCAUCACUUCAAAAGGCUCGUGAGAUGUCACCGGAGAGGCUGCGAACACGACGACCCGAGCGUUCCUGCAACCUCUUGCAUCGUAUUUUCUGGAGAAGACGUUGAAGAGGCUGACCUCCACAUCAAGGUGGACCGCGAGAUGUUUGCAGUGAAAAAUGGGGAGGAGGGGCUGGCGGCUGUUUUAUCUGCUUACUGGCUCUUCAAUAAUUUCCAGUACGACCGCAAGCUGUUCAACACUCUUCUCGUGUUGGAGCGCCUUUUCCUUGGGCUCACAUUGAGUACCCCUAGAGUAGUGGCUACAAAGUUCUUGAACAAUGUUGCCAAAUGUGUGCCAUGUUUAAUGUGCUGAAGCUGUGCACUGUUACCUCAUCAUGAGUUUAGCUGUAAUUUUCAGAUGCAAGUUUUGUUUUGUCUAACCAUUUCUGCAAUACAUAUGAAGGAAGCCAACAGUCACCGAUAACAAGGCAAGCUUAUGGCAACGCUAUUCGUUUUUUUUAUUUGCAGUGUUAGUAGUUGGAAAUUAUUAGUGUAAUUAUUUUCAGAUGUGGUUAGUUAGGAUCCCACUGGCAGCAUGUGGUUUUCUGCUUUCUGAUCAUUUACCUGUCAGCCAUAAAAUGAUUACACUAACAAUUUUCUAUUGUCAGCACCACAAAUUGUUAAAACUUAGAAGCAUUCUCCAUGUGGGGCGUUCCUUGGUCUCGGUCACUGUUGGCAUUUUUCAUAUGCAUUACAGAAAGGGUUAAACUAUUCAACACUUUCUUAUCUAAAUGUUACAGGUAAACUGUCUUUUGUAUUACAUCAUUAGCUCUUUUUAACUUUCAAUAACUAAGCAAGAUUCUAGU